rnacentral:ncRNA from 1 species
AUGGAAUGGUCGUCGCUUAACGGAUAAAAGUUACCCCGGGGAUAACAGGCUGAUACCACCCAAUAGUUCACAUAGACGGUGGUGUUUGGCACCUCGAUGUCGGCUCGUCACAUCCUGGAGGUGGAGUUGCUUCCAAGGGUUGGGCUGUUCGCCCAUUAAAGUGGCACGCGAGCUGGGUUCAGAACGUCGUGAGACAGUUCGGUCCCUAUCCGUCGUGGGCGUAGGAAAAUUGAGAGGAGUUGUUCUUAGUACGAGAGGACCAGAAUGAACAUACCUCUGGUGUAUCUGUUGUCACGCCAGUGGCAGUGCAGAGUAGCUAUGUAUGGAAAGGAUAAACGCUGAAAGCAUCUAAGCGUGAAGCCUCCCUCAAGAUGAGUUUUCCCAUUGUUUACAAGUAAGAUCCCAGAAAGACUAUCUGGUUGAUAGGUCAGAGGUGGAAGCAUAGUGAUAUGUUGAGCUGACUGAUACUAAUAGAUCGAGGAUUUAACCCU